AUGUUGAAUGAUGUUAGUUACAGGAAAUUGAAGCGACGAGGCUUGAAGAACCAUGAGGAAAUUGUAGAAGAUGAUGAAGAAUCGAUGAAGCGGUUUGUUUUGGAGCAAUUUGAAAGCAUGGAUAAUUCAAAGAUGGGUAUUCUGAUGAGACAAGGGUGCAAUAUGCUUCGAGCUUUGGUCAUGAAGGAUGAAGAUUUAAUCAAGAGGGUAAAAGUCAGAAGCAUGAGAACUAUGGAUUUUAGUGUGGAAGAAACAUGA